AAGGCACUAGUAAAAACAUUACCUUGUCUUGUCAAGACAAAAUCGUGGGUGAGACCCCCGCGUGCCUUA
rnacentral:tRNA from 1 species